UACGGAGGAUGCAAGCGUUAUCCGGAAUGAUUGGGCGUAAAGCGUCUGUAGGUGGCUUUUUAAGUCUGCCGUCAAAUCCCAGGGCUUAACCCUGGACAGGCGGUGGAAACUACCAAGCUGGAGUACGGUAGGGGCAGGGGGAAUUUCCGGUGGAGCGGUGAAAUGCGUAGAUAUCGUUUGGAACGCCAACGGUGAAAACAGACAGCUGGGAGUGUGCUGACGCUGAGACACGAAAGCCAGGGGAGCGAACGGG
rnacentral:rRNA from 1 species